CCUACGGGGGGCUGCAGUGGGGAAUAUUGCGCAAUGGGCGAAAGCCUGACGCAGCGACGCCGCGUGGGUGAUGAAGGCCUUCGGGUUGUAAAGCCCUGUCGGGUGGAACGAACGAUCUGGCGGCGAAUAACCGCCGGGUGUGACGGUACCACCGAAGGAAGCCCCGGCUAACUACGUGCCAGCAGCCGCGGUAAGACGUAGGGGGCUAGCGGUGUUCGGAUUUGCGUAGCGGACUAGGUAAGUAGGUUGUGAAAUCCCUCGGCUUAACCGAGGGCCCGCAUCCGAUACUGGCUGGCUCGAGUCUAGGAGAGGAAAGCGGAAUUCCCAGUGUAGCGGUGAAAUGCGUAGAUAUUGGGAGGAACACCGGUGGCGAAGGCGGCUUUCCGGACUAGUACUGACGCUGAGGCGCGAAAGCUAGGGGAGCGAACGGGAUUAGAUACCCGGGUAGUC
rnacentral:rRNA from 1 species